rnacentral:siRNA from 1 species
AGAACUGGUACGGACAAGGGGA